ensembl:lncRNA
CAGACUCUGCAAAGCCAUGAAGAUUAUUUGAGUCAUUCUGGAUUUGCUGUGGGACAAAAAACACAGGAUGUGGCCAGAUCCAGCAAACAUACUUUUCAAUCAGAUUUACAUAAAAUCCACUCCUUCACCCACCAGACACACAUACAAAAAAACAAAAUAAUAAUCAUAUCAAAACAGAACUGAUUGUGAAACCUCCUUUUGUCCUGUGAGAAUUUCAGAUUUCAGAAGUUUUACCAUCAAAACUUGAUAAUUCUUGCAGGCCAGUAAUCCAUGAAGAAUUCACCAUAGGUCUUUUGAGAUAUUUUUCAUGCUUUAGGUCUUUUUAAUAAUGGAAAUAAUAAUAAUAAAAAAUAGAGUAAUAAGCAAUGCAACAGCAAGAGCUAUUGCAAAGCAAAAGUAAAACAUUUCCCUCAAAAAAACUCAAAGCUGUAUACAAAUAUUUCAAAAGACAUUUAUUUAUUUAUGUGUUUAUGCACGUAGGUAUUUAUUUUUUAAGAACCUGAAGGAAACAACUGCCGCUUGGUGAGUCAGGGCUCUUUCUAGGAAAAUAUGUUAGCCAAAAAUUCUCAAUGAAUUCUAAUCCACAAAUUCCAUCAUUCCUCAUUUCCCGUACACGCAACUGAGAGGAAGAGAGAAGAGAGAGAGAAAUUUAUGAAGUGUUGCCAAUGGAAUGUAAAAUCCCAGUUUCAGGCUCUUUUUCUUUCUUCAGUGACCUAAUUUGCUCCUGAAAACCCUCAGCCCCACUCUCAGCUGCUCUGCAAGGGAUGGUCUCCACAUGCAAGGACACAAGUAGGUCUGCUUGGAUGUCUUGUGGAGAAGGAGUGUUAGCGCAAGGAAUUAAUGACUUGAUGUGGUCUACAAGAAUUCAGCAGGAACCUGAACCUCACCUGGCAUCCAGAUGAACGGCCUGGGCAGAAGAGUAGUCAUCCUCUGUAAUUCUUGUUCACUCUCUGGUCGUGCUUCUGGGAUAGCAUUGUAUAUACUACAAAGUGGUUGCUUCCACUUCUGUGCCCCCCCCCCGUUUUUUCCUAUACUUUCAACCUAUUCCUAGCCUGAUCUAUUCAAAAUGCAGAAAGGAAAUGAAAUAGAAACUUUCUUAUUAAGUAGUUUUUGGGAACAUUUGAGAGAAGUGCUUAAAAAUUCCUCUGCAGUGAAUUUUCUCUGAAAUGAAGGUAGGAUCCCAGCUGUAAAUCAGGCUGGAUUCUUUUCUAAAUCUAGGUUUACAAUUGCCAUAAACUCAAUCAUUUGCGUUGUCCUUAAACAGAGGGUCCAAGAUUUCCAGACCACUUAGACACUCUGUGACUGAAAUGGUUGCCUGUAACUCAGAACUCGGACAAAAUGAGAGCUUAGUUGCCCUGCUGUCAGUAUUUCUUCACCUCUUCACAAAAUAGUCAAAUUUUUCCCCAUGUGAUCAAAGGAUCUUUAGAUAUCCAAACUAUAAGCUUAAUCCUGGAGCAAGAUGUCCAUCCAUACAGAGGUAGCCCAAAGGUGCAGCGUGAUGAAUCAGGAAGGAAAUUACUCCAUCAGUUUUGAGAGGGAACCCAACCCAUACAUCCUCCAAGAGAAAAAAAAAAAAAAUCACAUUUUCCAGGUUAAUUUUCCUGGAAAGCUCCAUUCAGAGACUAUUCGAAUUCGAAUAGCCUGUUCAGUUUAAACUGGCUUUUUUACCAAAUGCUGGGCAUUUUCUGCAUCAGACUAAUUUCAUUAUAGAGAACAUCUUGCUCUUUUACUCAAAUAUUUUCUUUAAUUCAGAAGAUGGCAGAAAUCAUAGAAUCAUAGAAUGGCCUGGGUUGAAAAGGGCCAUAAUGAUCAUCUAGUUUCAAUCCUGCUGCCGUGGACAGGGCUGCAAACCACUAGACCAGGCUGCCCAGAGCCACAUUCAGCCUGGCCGUGAAUGCCUCCAGGCAUAUGACAGAAAUGACAUAAUAAAAAAAUGAAACCAGGGAUCCUAAUAAUUAGUUAACUAAUUAUGGACUUUGCCAUGGGAUCACUCUGUGACAUUUGAAGGAAGAUGCCUGUACAUUAGGUUCUGUUUGGCUUAAAAGUUCAGAUCUAAUGCUAAGAAUGUCUUUAUGUAGAAUAAGACAAUGACUGAACAUGCCCACAUGAUAAUAACAGGCAAAGAAACCCAUGGAGCUGCAUUUUACUGACAUGAAGGAAUGCACACUAAUGGCAAAAAGGAGAAAACUGCAUCUCUGGAGAGUAAAUCAAAUCCUUCUGGGUAAAGUGGUUAUUAAGAAAUGAACAACCACUGGAAUCUCAGUUGUGCUACCAGAGUCAUGCUCCUUACCUUGACCCUCCAAUUCGAACCACAGAGAACCUGUCCUGAAGACAUAUGAUCAGAUCUACUCUCCUAAAUUCUGAAUUAAUCAGGGGAUAGUGCAUAGGUUGGAAAGAGUUCAUGUCACCUUAUUUUUCAAAAAUCAUAUAUUCUGAAGAAUACUUUAAUACAAUACUUAAAUUCACAGUAUUUUUCAGACUCUGCUUGGCUGUGGAUAGAUAUUUCCCAUUCAGACAUAUGUAUGCUUGAUGCAUAAUGACACACUGAAAAAUAGAAACACAGAAAUUGAACAUUUUAAGGCAGUAAUUCACCUCAAAGAAACUCCUUUGUAAUAGCUGAUCUGUUCUGUCAGAUAACUGCAAGGUUCUUUAGGACAAUGAUGACCUCAGUGGAAGACUUUCAAGCAGUCUUGCGUCUUCUGUAGGGCAGGAACCUUGCAAAGCACUUAGCUCAUCCUGAAUCAGGACCUAAGCCUGGAAGGAGGCAAAUCCUGCAGGCUGCUAGGGUGAGGGAAACUGAAAAUGACCUCUUGCUGUCAGAUUUCACUCAUUCGUUUUAACCCAAGGUUUCCCCAAGGCUGCAGAACAAAUUCCUUCUGUGCAGGAAGUGCUCGUGCUAAUCCAGAGGUUCAAAGCCUGUAUGAGGAAAUAUAAUGCUUCCUCCAGGGACUUUUCAGAGGAGAGUGGUUGACCACAAGAAAAUAAAAUCUCCUGCAGCUGAUCGUAAGCCUGUGUGAGAGGGCUGCUGAGGAGUCACCUAGGAAUGAGUGCAAUUCCUGUUUAUGAGUCAGCAGGGAAGGAGCAGCCCAAGUCAGAUUUUGGGAGAUGCCUGCGCUGUCUGCCUCUUUUCAGACCAUGGGAACACUGCAAGGAAAAUAAUGAGGAGAUAUGAGGUUAAGGAAUGUGGGAAUUCAAGGUUCUAUAGACCAUGCUUAUGGAUGGAUUGAUGUAGCUGCCUGCUAGGCAUGACAACACCUGCAGCAAGCAGAGAUGUGAGCUCUGAUCCAGCAUUGCUGCGUCAUGUUAAGACAAGUGUUAGAUCAAACCUACAGUCUCAUUCCACUAAGAGAACAUCAGUUCAUUUGUAUCUCCACUGGAUUUAAAGGACUUUCUUCUAAGCAUCUGUACCCUUCCCAACACAAAGCUAAGGACUGAGGCUUCAAGUGGAACUCAAGUUCUUUAAAAAAAAAAAAAAAAAAAGAUUCAAUCCAUCUGGAUGUGCUGACUUCAUUGUGGAUCUCUUCUGAACUGGUAUAUUUCCCUAGGUAACUGGUUGGGGUUCUCUUAUACUUUAAAGCACUGACAAAUUUGUAACAUCAGAAUAGAAUCAUGAUAAAACGUGUCAGGAAGAGAUUUCAAGAAAAAACAAACCUCAUUCUUUUUUUCUCCUUCCAGAAUCAGCUGGACACCUGCUUUCUAACCUGCUAAAACCUUCUGUUCUUAGAAGCUCCCCAUAAACUUUGACAUGAGUAGGUUGGACAAAGAAUUCAGUUCUUGACUGUUUGAGAAGUAUGGCAAUGUUAUUUAAGAAUGUUUUGACUUAUUUAUCAGCUUUGUCUUCUAACCUAUUGCCUCCUUUCAGACGAUUACCCUCUGUUGUUUUGUAUUAUUUCUCUUUCUGUCUGAUUUUUCUUAGUUUUGGUUUCAUCUCACCAUGGAUUGAAGAUCAAGGGAAAAUUAUUCUUCCACUUCGCUUUAAUGCAACAUGAACAAAGGUGUUAGAAUGUGAUUUUCAGAAAAUAAGUCAUAAUAGUUAUAAAUUUGUGACGUACCCGUUGGGAUUACACAGGCUGGUCAUGUGCUGGCUUGAAAUCUGGGCUGAAACUGUUACAGCUCAAUUGAAAUCAGCGUUGCAAAUGUAUUUACUCAGAGUGAGACCCAUGGAGUGCAAACACCCCAGGCCUAAUAGUGGACGGAAAAUAGAAAAAGCAACUCCUACUCAUUUACUAUGAUAAAUGAUCACCUCAAGAUCCUAAUGGCCGUGGUGUUCUAUCAACAUGUUCAGCUCCUAUCCAACAUCAGGUGGGGUGGUGGUGGCGGAUGAGUGCAGAGCUCAAAUUAUGCUCUGAUCUUGGCAGGUCCUGGAUAAUUUAACGAGCUUGAUUAGAUGCUAAAUAAAUAUUGGUUUUGCAAUUUGCUCACCAGUUUUGCUCUUGGAUAAAAGAGGCUACAAAUACUGUUGCACUGGCAACAGGAACAAACAAUUUAAAAGAUCCGUUCAGACUGUGAUGAAAGCGUUUGAAGAAGAAAAUUUUGGUGGAAUCAUGUUUUGCUCUAAUGAAAACCCUCUGUUCUGCAGUAACUGAAGAAAAUCAGCAAACUCUACUCCUCAUGACUUGAAUUUAAUUGUCAAUUUAAAGGUGAAGCAGUUUUGUGAAAGGAGGAAGUCCCUCAACAGACCCUAUGUAACAGGAUAAGAGCUAAGAUGAGCUCACUUGUUUCAAUGUCAUAUUCUUUGGUUUUGAUAAAGUUUUCAUAGAUGAAGAUAUCUGGCUACACGCACAUAGUUUAAUAUAAUAUAGUUAUAUUUACUUCCAAUUUUUGCCAGUGAGGGACUAUUCUUGUAGUGCUCACUUCCUUUGUCUUCACUGUAUGCAUAUGUAUUUUUGCAGUGAAAUAAAUGUAUGUACACACACAGAGUUGUGUCAGUGAAUGCCUAGUUCGUUUUUGCACUAAAAAACCCUCCUGUUGCUUUCAACUUCAGUUGAAGGGGACAGAACUUCAGAUAAGAUACGACCUGCUUUGUCCUGGGCAAAUAUGAGUGGUAAACUGUAGAAAUUGUGGUCAGUGUUUGUCCCUUUAACCCAGCAGCUGUCCUGUGCUGUGUAGUCCCUAUUCACAGUGGGUAUUUAUUACAGCUUCAUAAGAUAAUGCACAACAUUAAUGCCCUACACACCCUUUUCAACUGCUUCUGCAAGUUAGCUCA